GUGCCAGCAGCCGCGGUAAUACGUAGGGUGCGAGCGUUGUCCGGAAUUACUGGGCGUAAAGAGCUCGUAGGUGGUUUGUCGCGUCGUCUGUGAAAUUCCGGGGCUUAACUCCGGGCGUGCAGGCGAUACGGGCAUAACUUGAGUGCUGUAGGGGAGACUGGAAUUCCUGGUGUAGCGGUGAAAUGCGCAGAUAUCAGGAGGAACACCAAUGGCGAAGGCAGGUCUCUGGGCAGUAACUGACGCUGAGGAGCGAAAGCAUGGGUAGCGAACAGGAUUAGAUACCCUGGUAGUCCAUGCCGUAAACGGUGGGCGCUAGGUGUGGGGGUCUUCUACGACUUCUGUGCCGUAGCUAACGCAUUAAGCGCCCCGCCUGGGGAGUACGGCCGCAAGGCUAAAACUCAAAGGAAUUGACGGGGGCCCGCACAAGCGGCGGAGCAUGUGGAUUAAUUCGAUGCAACGCGAAGAACCUUACCUGGGCUUGACAUAUGCCGGAUCGGCGCAGAGAUGCGUUUUCCCUUGUGGUCGGUAUACAGGUGGUGCAUGGUUGUCGUCAGCUCGUGUCGUGAGAUGUUGGGUUAAGUCCCGCAACGAGCGCAACCCUUGUCUUGUGUUGCCAGCACGUUAUGGUGGGGACUCGCGAGAGACUGCCGGGGUUAACUCGGAGGAAGGUGGGGAUGACGUCAAAUCAUCAUGCCCCUUAUGUCCAGGGCUUCACACAUGCUACAAUGGUCGGUACAGUGGGUUGCUACACCGUGAGGUGGUGCUAAUCCCUUAAAGCCGGUCUCAGUUCGGAUUGGAGUCUGCAACUCGACUCCAUGAAGUCGGAGUCGCUAGUAAUCGCAGAUCAGCAACGCUGCGGUGAAUACGUUCCCGGGCCUUGUACACACCGCCCGU
rnacentral:rRNA from 1 species